rnacentral:antisense_RNA from 1 species
GGUGGUGCUGGGAAUAGGGCGCAAGAUGUCGGCGGAUGCAGCUCCGAGGAGGUAGGCAGUGGGAGCCGACGUUCAGUCCGGCCCGUGCCAACAGUGGUUCCUCUCUCCCCCGUAGUUCGAGGAGACCACGCGCUGCCCCUCUGGCACGAUCGUGGAUGAACCCCCUGGCAACUGAAAUGGGAAAGGCAGCGCCCCCGACUCUGGGGACUGGACCGAACUCCACGGUAGUGACAGCUGCCAGACCCUGAGGAGAGGACGAGAAGACCUGAGGCCUCUGCUACGAACACUGGCAGCCGAUGGAAAAUUCAGACGGAUUUGGGACAGUAUGCAGAGUUCUCCAAGCGACAGAUUAACAGAGGCUCUUGAAGGAUAACUGUGUAAUCACGUGUUCUGCUCAAAAGAAGGCCUGAAUGCCCAGUGCCUUAUUUGGCUUUCAGGACAGGGUCUUGCUGUGUCACCCAGGCUGGAGUACAGUGGUGCAGUCAUAGCUCACUGCUGCCUCAAACUCCUAGACUCAGGCAAUCCUCCUGCUUCAGCCUCCCGAGUAGCUGGGACUACAGGUAGAUGAUGGGCUCCAUGGGAACAGAGCAAACGUUCGCUCCUGCCUCCUACACGGUGUUUCCUCUAAACCUGAGGCUCAGCAGACUUGUCAUCACUUAAAACCCAAUUCAGAGCGGGGGGCACUGCCAGUGAAUAGUUCAUCACCGACUCAGUUUCCCCAUGUGUAUGCUGUGGUAUUGGAUCAGCAACGAGAUAAGAAGAUCUCUCCCAUUUCCAAGCGUCUAUGAUGAUUCUGAGGCACAAGGUCACAUUUGACAGUACUAGGAAACCCAGGAAACAACAAGCAAAGAUGACAAAGGAUGUGUCUGCCUGGGCAGACGAUCUAUUUGGACAAGAUAAUAGACCCAGGCAUGGACAUGCUCUCCAAGAAAGAUGCCCUGACAGCUGCUCACACUGAAGCUGAAUCGAACAUUCCAAUCCUUAGAGCUUCCAGCGAAGAUCUUGAAGUCUCCCUGAGCCACUGACACAAUGGCCAUGCCAUCCCAGUGAUAAAACACAAAUUGUGGCCUUGUUUUGGACAGAAAUAAAGAGCCCAGUUUGUUAGUGAUUUACUGAUAA